UACGUAGGUGACAAGCGUUGUCCGGAUUUACUGGGCGUAAAGAGCGCGCAGGCGGUCGUUCAAGUCGAGUGUGAAAGCCCCCGGCUCAACUGGGGAGGGUCACUCGAUACUGAUCGACUCGAAGGCAGGAGAGGGUAGUGGAAUUCCCGGUGUAGUGGUGGAAUGCGUAGAUAUCGGGAGGAACACCAGUGGCGAAGGCGGUUGCCUGGAGCUUUGCUGACGCUGAUGCGCGAAAGCGGUGGGGAGCGAGUCCGG
rnacentral:rRNA from 1 species